UACGAAGGGGGCUAGCGUUGCUCGGAAUUACUGGGCGUAAAGCGCACGUAGGCGGCUUUCUAAGUCGGGGGUGAAAUCCUGGAGCUCAACUCCAGAACUGCCUUCGAUACUGGAAAGCUCGAGUCCGGGAGAGGUGAGUGGAACUGCGAGUGUAGAGGUGAAAUUCGUAGAUAUUCGCAAGAACACCGGUGGCGAAGGCGGGUCUCUGGGCCGUAACUGACGCUGAGGAGCGAAAGCGUGGGGAGCGAACAGG
rnacentral:rRNA from 1 species